CGGCGGACGGGUGAGUAAUGUAUGGGGAUCUGCCUGAUGGCGGGGGAUAACUACUGGAAACGGUAGCUAAUACCGCAUAAUGUCUACGGACCAAAGCGGGGGACCUCCGGGCCUCGCGCCAUCGGAUGAACCCAUAUGGGAUUAGCUUGUAGGUAAGGUAACGGCUUACCUAGGCGACGAUCCCUAGCUGGUCUGAGAGGAUGAUCAGCCACACUGGGACUGAGACACGGCCCAG
rnacentral:rRNA from 1 species